rnacentral:lncRNA from 1 species
CGUAUUUCCAGUGAAUCGUGUGAUGUGCAAGAGAAGGUUCUACUAUGAUAUACAUGGAAUCCAACAAAAGUGAGACUGGGUUAGGUUUUUUUUUUUUUUUUUCUUAACUCCAGGCUUUCUCAGGACCUUUAACAUGCUAAUUUGCAUUGUGACCCUCCAGAAUGAGACUUUAUGCAAUUUUCCAAAACAGAAUUGAUCAACAGACCCUUUUGUUGUAAGGGCAUCUCAGCAGACUACUGUCCCGAAGAGCAUCUUUCAGGAAACACUGAUUUGCCUGACAUCCAACGCCCAAGUUAGCCUUUCCUUUUUUUUUUUUUUUAAAUUUUAAAAACAUUUUAAGUAAUCUCUACCCCCAGUAUGGGGCUCAGACUCACGGCCCUGAGAUCCAGAGUCGCAUGCCCUGCUGGCUGACCGUAGCAGCCAGGCAUCCCACGACUUACUUAUCUUAAGAUACGGUGAUAGCUGGGUUCUGACACAGUGGCUGUGCAACAGCAGGAAAGUGCUGACGCUCUCUGUUCUCUUGCCUCCUUGUCUGUUAAGCCACAGUGUAACACAUGUUGUGACUGACUCACCACAAUGAAGGGUACCGUACACAGCCUUGAUUGAAAACUCCAACCAUGUUUUUGGUUUGUUUAUCUGCAGUCUAAGCACUUGCUAUGUGCCUGGCACUUUGAUGGUCCUAUGGAAGAUACAGUGACUUUUAAAUCAUGUUUCCUGACUUCAAGGAACUUGCAGUAUAAUGGAGGAGAAAAGAUUUACACCUAAGUUCCAAUAUGAGGCAGGAAGAGUGGAGUGCCACAAGAAAUACGGGCCUGCAGAAUGGGAAAAUUGUCCCAAAUAUUGGUAUCAUGAAAGUCUGCUGGAGAACACAAACUUUCCUGACUGUACCUACUGAUCUCAAGGUCCAGGUUGGCUGGAUUCACAUGACUUCAACACUCCC